GGGGGGAUAUUGAGUCCUUCAGUUUCUGAGCCAGUUCCAGCAGAAAAGCAGAGCUUGGAGGAAGCUGGAUUUGAUAUUCUUGGCCUCUGUAUGCUCCCUGAUUAUUAUUUUUUAAUAUCCUGAGAACAGAUUAGGAUGAAGCAGAUUAGGGGAAGUCACGAGAUAUGUCAUAACUGAGCUUCUUUCUCCUGCAGGCAUUCCCCUGAGGAGGCAAUCUGGAUGUAUCCCAUAGUAUCACUGGGUAGGACUUAGGCCUGCUGAGUGGAGGAACCAACUUAAAUGCAGUCCAUGAAUAAGCUUUCCUUUUUCUUCCCCCACCUGACUUAUUCAUAGAAACUGGGUUAGGUGACACAUGUAAGAAAGAUCCAGUCACUGAAGGUAAUGCUACCUUGUCAUUUCUCCUUCCAAUAAAUAUGUUGGCUUUCUUCACAUACAUACUUGUCUCUUCACAGAUGUUCCUGAAUCAUGAAGGAUCCUGCCUUUCCUCCCAGUUGUGAACUGUUGAAAUCCCAAAUCCAAGCUUUGAGUUUUUGGUACCAGAGGUUGAAGUCCCAACUGUGUCAAUCCCUUACAUGGGAUUGGCCUCACAAGCCUUUGCCCAUUCCAGGUCUUGACAAACAGGAGGCUGUAUCCAGGCUGGUUUCUGGGAAAUAGAGUGGAUCUGUGUGUUUGCUGGUAGGUGCAGUAGGAAGCAUCUGCCUGCCAGCACAGCAGUGAGCAACAUGUUGCCGUUGGAUCGAUUGGACUUAAUGUGCAGCUGUGCUCUCACUGAGUGGGGAGCUAAUUACUGCAGAAAGACACAAGCUGCAAAUUGGGUGACUUCACAUGGAAACUAUGAGUAAGGUGAACAAACAAGGACUCUUGGAGUUAAGGUGCACAGGCUGGUAAAACAGGCUGGAGAACCAUGCUCCUAUCCAAAGGGCUGCAGAUUGUGCCUCUGCAGAUUGAAAGGGGCUCCAGAAUUGAGUCAGAAAAUGGGUAGAGGGAAAGAAGAAAGACAGAAAACACCCACCCCAAAGUACACAGUGCAUGUGGUCUCACAGCAAGUGUCAGAAAACAUCCUUCCCAUACUUUCCCCUAUCAUAUUCUUUACCCUCUAAGGGUCAUCUUUCUCCUCUAAACAAGAGUGAAAUUGUCCUCUUUGUCAGAUGACUACUUUCAAUAUGCAUACCUACCAUUAAGAACGGUGAUCACUAUAACUUCGAUAGUCCAUUCUGAGAUUUCCUGAUCUUCACUUGGUCAAAGUUUCCUCUGACAUGUGAUUUGCUGUAAAUUUAUUACUUUAUUAUCUCACUCAACUAGAUAGAAAAAAUAAAAGGAGAACACCUUGUCCUCUGGCUACUUAU
rnacentral:lncRNA from 12 species